rnacentral:sRNA from 1 species
GAUCAGGCAAUGGGAUCCCGUCAUCUUCCCAGAACGCAGUCUUCUUGUCUUUUCCUUUUGCCAUUCCGCCAAUAUCAAAGGGGUCAAAAACAGUCAGGAAAAAGUUCCUAUCAUCGACCCAGCCUGGGCCGAUGCGCUCUGUUUUCCCAUCCCGGGCUAGAUAAACCACGUUGGACCGGGGGAGACAGCUUGCAGGCGGGAAUACGUUCAUCAGAACAGCGUUGAUGAAGAUGGGUACUGCAUCGAAGCACCAGAAAUAUGCCUCGGUGCGUCCCACAGCAGACCCCCAUCCUUCGAAGGUCUCCACAGCGCGAUAUACAUUCCGAACCGUCAGUAACGCGCACGACAAAUAGAGGGUUAUCAGAACUUUCCGGAGUUUCGGUUCGUGGAUGCCAGCUUUGUGCAAGCGGCGGUGGAAAUAGGCGACGAGGACCCCGAACAGGGCGAAGAUCGGGAUUUGGGCGAGGAUCGAAGUCUUGAUUAGGAUGUCACCCACUUUCAGUGUCGCUGGCUUGUGAUUGAGGUUUGAGGCUAUGGAUGCGCCAGAGGCGGCAAGGCCUUCGAUGAUAGCAUCGCAUCCAAGGAAAGUGGAUAUCACGCGACCUGGGUGCAUCGGCGAUAGCCAGGGAACAUAGUACAGUACACGGCCAAAAACGAUGGAGUUUAUUGCGAGGAAUAUAGGGCUGCAUAAAACGAGUCAGAAAAGCGCUCGAAGUCGCAUCAAAACUACUAAUACCCCUGAGUGGCAUUGCAGGGACUAGGUGCUGACUCACGGGGCGCAAAACAAAAAGCAUGAUGUUGCGAUGAAAAGGUCAAGUUUCCCGUAGAGGCCAUGAGCUGCUAUCUCACGGAGGAUAUAGCCGACGACGAAGACCAGCGAGACCCAUGGGAGCAACAGGCCCAUCCUCCACGUUUUGUAUCGCCUGUUCGAAGAGCGUCAGAAAGUCGGUUCUGAGAACGGACGUCAAGGCCCAAAAGAUGUUUUAUUUAUUUAUUUAUUUUUUUUUUUUCAUACAUAUUGUUCUGCCAUAGAUGCAGAAGACCAGAAACAAGCCAGAGAACAGCAAAGACUGCGGAUAGCCCCUUUACGGGUUUAUACUGGAAGAAGCUGAAACCCUCUGUGAUAGUGAAGUUAGAAUUUGGCUUGAGGACCGGACCAUGGUAUUCUUCCCUAGUAUCUUGCGGUAUGAAUCGAGACGUACCGGUACCAGGUCCACCCAUUGCAACGGACUUGGGAAAACUAUGUUAUCAAUAAUCAAACGAAAUAAAUACUAGUAUAUUGAUUGAACAAUCGAAUCAUCUAUAAAAUGCGGCC